rnacentral:RNase_P_RNA from 1 species
AGAGGCAAAUAAGAUGGCUGCUUGAGCGUAAGCUUGAGAGGAAAGUCCGGACUCCAUUGGGUAGGAUGAUUCCUAACAGGAAUAGGGAGCAAUCCUUAGACAGUGCCACAGAAACGAAACCUGUCAUUCUGACCGCUUUCGGCUAGGAUCGAUAAGGGUGAAAAGCGGUAAACCUCAUCCGGAGCAAGACCAAAUAAGAAAGCUUGCCAACCCUGCAGUACAGCUUUCGGGUAGGUCGCUGGACAGAAGGAGUGAUCCUUCUGCUAGAUAGAUAGCCAUCACCUUUCAGGUACAGAAUCCGGCUUAUUAUUUGCCUUUAACC